rnacentral:rRNA from 1 species
AACGAACGUUGGCGGCGUGCCUAAUACAUGCAAGUCGAACGGGGAAAGCUUUCGGGUGAGUACUAGUGGCGCACGGGUGAGUAACGCGUGGAUAAUCUGCCUUAGAGUGGGGGAUAACUAGUCGAAAGAUUAGCUAAUACCGCAUAAGACCACAAGAACUGCGGUUCAAGGGGUCAAAGGUUUUUCGCUCUAAGAUGAGUCCGCGUAAGAUUAGCUAGUUGGUAGGGUAACGGCCUACCAAGGCGACGAUCUUUAACUGGUCUGAGAGGAUGAUCAGUCACACUGGAACUGAGACACGGUCCAGACUCCUACGGGAGGCAGCAGUAGGGAAUAUUGCACAAUGGAGGAAACUCUGAUGCAGCGACGCCGCGUGAGUGAUGAAGGCCUUCGGGUCGUAAAGCUCUGUCGCAGGGGAAUAACACAAUGAAGGUACCCUGUAAGAAAGGAUCGGCUAACUUCGUGCCAGCAGCCGCAGUAACAC